CUUGCUCUAUUCCUUCUUUUUUUAAUCAUGAUUUUCCAAUAUGAUAUUAUGUGUAUUUUGAUCCUAAAUUGGACUUUUUUCUGGAUUUUAGGAAUAUUUAACUGCUUCAGACUUUGAAAUAAUAUCAUGAGAGUAAAGCAAACCACAAAUAUGUACUCGUGGCAAAAUGGUGUUCGAGCGUUGGCGAAUAAGGAUUUGCUUGCAGCGUUGAAGAACAAUAAUAUGCAAAGAACAGAAAGAAAGGUUCUCUUAACAUAGAAAGUAAAGAAAUAAUGAAGUUCACACUACAGUUGACAAUCUGGAUGUGUUUCCUUUGUUAUUUGAACAUGAUUUAUUUUAACUUACAUAACAAGUAUGCACUACAAUAAUGAAUAUCUAUAUUAAUAGUAAUAAUAUUCCAUUAAACAUGGAUAUGGAAAAAAUAUUCUUUGACCGUGCAAGAUAAGAUAAAUCCAGACAUAGUCAGAGUCUUCAGUUAACUUGGAUGUGUUCCAUUUGUUUCAUCCACAUACUUGAAAUUUGUCUUGUAACUACAUGUAUUUUUAUGAGGUUAAGUGGUGAGUAAUAAACCUUUAUCAUAACAUUUUCUUAUUUGGGGAUAGUAUGUAUUUAUGUUGACACUAUGUGUACCUUCAUUCUUUUCAUUUUUCUGUACAAAACAAGACCAAAUGUGUCAUUUUAGUUUAACCAUUUUAAACUGUAUUUAUUAUACUCUUCAUUCGUAUAUUAUCAAACAUUUUAACAAAUUUAAAUGUGUUGUUAUUUUGAUUAUAUUGUAUCGGUGUCAUAGGGUACAUGUCCAUUCCUAGCCUUCAAGAUAAAACAGAUAUAUUCUUUGUUGUAAAAUGUGUUCUUUAUGCAUAAACAUAUAGAGUGGCUACAUAGAACUCAACACUUAGCAUAUUUAUUACAAAAUAUCUAAGGGUAGUACUGCAUGUGAUUGCUACAUUCAGUGUACCUCAUGUUAUAUAAUACAUUAUAUUAUAUAUGAUCAAUAAAACAG